UACGUAGGGUGCAAGCGUUGUCCGGAAUUAUUGGGCGUAAAGAGCUCGUAGGCGGUUUGUCGCGUCUGCUGUGAAAACGCGAGGCUCAACCUCGCGCCUGCAGUGGGUACGGGCAGACUAGAGUGCGGUAGGGGAGAUUGGAAUUCCUGGUGUAGCGGUGGAAUGCGCAGAUAUCAGGAGGAACACCGAUGGCGAAGGCAGAUCUCUGGGCCGGUAACUGACGCUGGAGGAGCGAAAGCGUGGGGAGCGAACAGG
rnacentral:rRNA from 1 species